rnacentral:misc_RNA from 1 species
UUUCCGUAGGUGAACCUGCGGAAGGAUCAUUAAAAAUGAAGCCGGGAAACCGGUCCUUCUAACCCUUGAUUAUCUUAAUUUGUUGCUUUGGUGGGCCGCGCAAGAACCGGCUUCGGCUGGAUCGUGCCCGCCAGAGGACACAACUCUGUAUCAAAUGUCGUCUGAGUACUAUAAAAUAGUUAAAACUUUCAACAACGGAUCUCUUGGUUCUG